GAUGAACGCUAGCGGCAGGCCUAAUACAUGCAAGCUGAACGGCAAGAUUUGUAGCAAUACGAGUCCUAGAGUAGCGUAAGGGUGCGUAACACGUAUGCAAUCUGCCCGCAACAGGAGGAUAGCUUAGCGAAAGUUGAGAUAAGACUCCAUAAGAUCACGAGAGGGCAUCUGAUUGUGAUUAAACUACAAGGGGUUGCGGAUGAGCANGCGUCUGAUUAGUUAGUUGGCGGGGUAACGGCCCACCAAGACGAUGAUCAGUAGGGGAACUGAGAGGUUGGU
rnacentral:rRNA from 1 species